rnacentral:rRNA from 1 species
UGGGGAAUUUUGGACAAUGGGGGAAACCCUGAUCCAGCCAUCCCGCGUGUGCGAUGAAGGCCUUCGGGUUGUAAAGCACUUUUGGCAGGAAAGAAACGUCGCGGGUUAAUACCCCGCGAAACUGACGGUACCUGCAGAAUAAGCACCGGCUAACUACGUGCCAGCAGCCGCGGUAAUACGUAGGGUGCAAGCGUUAAUCGGAAUUACUGGGCGUAAAGCGUGCGCAGGCGGUUCGGAAAGAAAGAUGUGAAAUCCCAGAGCUUAACUUUGGAACUGCAUUUUUAACUACCGGGCUAGAGUGUGUCAGAGGGAGGUGGAAUUCCGCGUGUAGCAGUGAAAUGCGUAGAUAUGCGGAGGAACACCGAUGGCGAAGGCAGCCUCCUGGGAUAACACUGACGCUCAUGCACGAAAGCGUGGGGAGCAAACAGGAUUAGAUACCCUGGUAGUCCACGCCCCUAAANGAUGUCAACUAGCUGUUGGGGCCCUUCGGGCCUUGGUAGCAGC